AUUACUUUGUAUUACAUCAGUACUUCUACUCCAGAUAAGUGUGUCGGAUACUGUUGGAAACUAUAGGAGGCCAUUGUUUGGGACUAAGCUCCUGCAUUGGCAUACAACAGACUGGGCUAAAAACGGAGUACUCAUCCAUGCUACUAAGGACUAGUAAUCAUGGGCCUUCAAUUGGAACCCAGGACCCAAUAUUUCCAGGUCACUAAGGGUGAAAAUAAGCCGUCUAUCUGACCUCCUGGAAAAUCAAAAUUAGAGAAGAUAACAUCCAAUUUACAGAAUUGCUGACCAAGUAAGGAAUGUAGUAUGUAAUCGGGCAACAAAGGGAUUCAACACAUGACCUUAGCCUUUUGAUAUUGUUUCCCUAGCCUCAGACUCUGUGACAGAUUCACUUACCCUGUGAUGUAUAUAAGUAUAGUACUCUAGCAGUGUGUUCCAAACAUGAUGUUUAAUCACAUGAUGGAAAACACACUCGAAAGUGUGGCUACAUCAACUUCAGAGAAUCAGAAGAUUAAAUUUAGCAGUUCUAACUGCCAGACUCGUUCACCUUCUUUGACCCAGGAUAUAAUUUAAGCUACGCUCACUUUAUACUGUGAAAAGUAUGAACUAAUUGUGCAUGUCAAAGUAAGUUCUUCAAGAAGAGAGAGGGCUACCUUUCCCCUAUUUGAAAGAAGAGAGAAGGAAGGGCAAAGCAGAGAAUCUCUGGAGACGUGUGUGCAAGUUUGCCUCUGGCUAGAAGUUAAUGAUCAAUUGCCUCUCUGCUCAGCUCUGUGCUCAGAGAAAGAAGCAAACUUGGGUUCUCUCUAUUCAGAUAACGCAGAGCCUGUCUACCUCUCUUUCUUUGCUUUGCCUUCAAAUAUUGCACUUCAGCACAAAGUGACUAGGCUUAAAGAUUCCACAAAAAACCCAAAGAAAUCUAUUCAAGAGGUCAUCUAUCAACAGGUUACUUGAAUUUGAAAUACAGGAGCGAAAUGCCACCAAUGCCAAGUUCCCCACCUUUAUACCCACCUCCUGAUGGAGGAUGGGGCUGGGUUGUGGUUGGAGCAUCUUUUAUCUCCAUUGGAUUUUCAUAUGCCUUCCCCAAAGCCGUCACAGUAUUCUUCAAAGAAAUUCAGCAAAUAUUCCACACCACGUACAGUGAAAUCGCAUGGAUAUCAUCCAUUAUGCUGGCUGUUAUGUAUGCAGGAGGUAAGGUUCUUGUCUUGGAUUAAGUAGAAUUCUGGAUUAAGAAAACAAUUCCUUCAUGCCACAGUUCUACUGUGUGAUUUAUAUGCAGUAUCCUGGUAUAUAUUACUUUUUUUUUUAAAUUUUUUAUUGUUGGUUGUUCAAAACAUUACAUAUUUCUUGAUAUAUCAUAUUUCACACUUUGAUUCCUGGUAUAUAUUAAAGCCCUGUUUUCAUGGUACAGUCACAAACAAUCAAAAGUAUUACUAAGAAAUUUUAAAUGAUUUUAAUCCAGUAUCUAAAACUAUUCAUUUUGAGCCUCUGGCAUUGUUUGAAUGAAAAUUUAUUUGUAAAAAUCAAAAUUUACUAACUUAUGAGAUUUCCAAGGUAAAUACUUUUCUAUUUAGAUUGGAAUAAAAGCUGCACUAGUGUUGGUAUCAUUUCUUAUUAUUGGUCUAGCUGGGAGAAAUGUUUUUGUUUUUUGUUUUUUGUUUUUUUUUUUUUGAAUGAGAAGGAAACUUGUUUAAGUUGCUGACAAUUCAUAAGCCCUGAAAAUACUUUACCUUACACUGCAAAAAUGGAGUGUUAUUCACAUUCUGGAGUCUUUCAGAAUCAGGUAAGAAACAAUUCCUUAUUAUUAUUGUUCUCAUUAAAUAUGACAUAUUUUUUAUUUAAAUGGUUGCCUAAUAACAUGUUGUUAUAUUCUAUAUUUUAAUGAUGGGUUUGAGUCAUGAAGAAUAAUGAAUAUAUCAAAAUAUCAUCUCACUUCUGAAUGUUAAAAAAAAUGGAAUUAGUACAUUUUUAUGUGGCUUGUCAUCUUUAAAUCAGUCUCACUAGCAGACCAGACUGACUUACAAAUUUUUUUAAAGCCAUUACUUAAAAUACAUGGAUUUUAGAGUUUUCAUUUUCCAAAUGGAUAUUUAACUGCAAGAUACAAUUAUGGACUCAGAAUAUAAGAAUUUAAACAAAUCAUAUAAAUUAGUAUCAUUUUUUAAAUUUUAGAAGUAAAGAUGAUGUGGCUCUUACUGACAGAGAUAUAACAUUAUUGCUAUUUGCCCAAUAUUUAUUAAUAUUUAGUUUCAGCCAAGGCCUCCCUCAUCACUUGAUAUACAGGGUAUGAGUUAAUCCUCUUAACCUAUGAAAUAAAUGUUAUUUUCUCUCUCUAGAUGAAGAAAUGGAGAGAUAAAAUAGCUUUACUGAGUCAAACAUCUCACUAGUGGCUGAUAAAAGUGGUACUUCAAAUAUUUAAUCACUGUAUUCUCUGCCUUUCUCGUAUCUUCUUCUUUUCAUCUAGAAAACGACAGAGCCAUAGCUAACCCAGGCCUUCUGCAAGCCCAAUGCAAUGUUUUUUCCUUCCUUGCAAUGUAGUGACUUAUGUACUACAUCCACCAAGGUCAUUUGUUCAAUGACAUAAUAAUUAAUUUUAAUGAUGUUAUCUUUUCAUUGCACUAUCAAUGUAAAAAAAUCCUGAAAUAAUCCUACUGUGUGUGUGUGUGAGAUGUGGGCAUACACACAUAUGUUGAUAUUGGUGUUUUUUAUUUUUUUGUUAAUCAAUAAUUUUAGAUUGAUACAGCAUGAGACUACGUAGGUUAAACUGAUGUAUUUUUAUUUUAAUAUCAAGUGGUAUCUUCAGAAUGCUAUUUGGACAUGUCAAUAAGAAAAUCUGCAUCUAAAACCCUUUCUAAGAAUCUCUUUUGUACAGUUGCUGUAAGCAUUUAGCAAUGGUAUUUUUUUAUGAAAAAGGACAAGAAAUAUUGUGCUUUGGGUUUUGUUCUUUCAGCCAGAGGGUAGGUGUUCUUUCAUAAUGCUCUGCUAGAAAAACACACAAGUCAUCUUAACUUGAGCUCCAAAAGCUGUUAAUAUAAAGGAAUGUAGUGUUUCAAUCCCCUCUUAAAUAUACAAUACCUUUAUUUAUUUUUAUGUGGUGCUAAGGAUCGAACCCAGUGCUUCACAUGUACAAAGCGCACGCUCUACCACUGAUCUACAGCCCUAACCCUCCCCCUCUUAAAUACAAUGUAAAAAGAAUCUUCUAAGUGACUUAACAUCAGUUUAUUGAAUUUAAUUGGACUUCAGGUCCUAUUAUAUUCUUAAUUUUAUGUUGUCCAAAUUGAUGACUAAACUUAUAGGUGAGACAAAAAUUGAUGUUAUUAAAUUAAGACUUGACUUAAUUUUUUACACACAAACACAAAGUCUCAGUGGCUUAAGGCAAGGUAGAUUUAUUUCUUACUCAAGCAGUGUUUCAUCUUGUGGCUAUGCCAUUAUAAGUCUUUGUAGAUUAUUCUUUCAAUCUUCUCUGUUUGCUGGACAAAACAAAGGUAGACAGCAUGGAUGAUCAUAAACUUCAUUUAUGCAUACAUCCCAUGGGUCAGAACUCUUAAAACUUCCCUACCUAGAUUUAGGGACUAUGGGAAAGGCCAGCAUUCCAGAGGAAAACUCAGAGCUGCAUGCAUCCAGCUAUUGCUGGACUGAACUUUAUACCUCACCAAUCAUUUUUCAUAAACAAAAGGAGAAUGGGUUUAUGGACUUGCCAUGGACAUAUAACAGCCUUAUACUCCCUGGCUGAAUAUAAAAGCAUCAUAGAAAUGGAGAAUGAUAUGAGUUUAAAUCACUAUAAAAUAUAAUUUUAAUUUCCUCAAACCACUAAAACUUGGUAUGAAAUGAUAAGUAAAUACCUGCAUUAUAUUUGUCAUAAAUAAUUUUUUUCCUUUUAUUUAUACAUUUAUUUUCUUUUUUUAAAUGUAUAGUAAAAACUCAAAAAGGUCCAAAAAAUAUUUAUUGAAAUUCAUAAAUAAAAUGGUAGUUUGGUAGUUACAAAUUUUUAAAAAGUUGCCUUAAACUAUUUAGGAUAGUAGAUGAAUAAAAUUCAUCUAAGUUAAAAAUUGACAGAUAUUUGCUUCCAGUAGUUCAAGAAAGCAACGCUAAACAUGUGAAAAUAUUUAGUUUGUAGUAAUUGAUGAUGGUAAUAUUUAGGUGAGAUCCUAGUACUUGGAGUAUUUUCCAAACUCCUCAGUUAUCAUGGCCAAAACAUUUGGUAUGUCAUCUGUGAUCAUGGAAGAAAGUUGAGGAUUUCAGAAAUUUUGCUACGCUUUUUUCUUUCCCUUAAAACUGGAAAUAUAGUUUCAGAUUCUUUGCUUAGUGGGUAGAGAUGGUUAUAACUGCUAUAUCUACCAUCUGAUCUAGAUCUCAUGCAUUUACAUGGCUUGUUGGAAAUAAAAUUAAUGUAUUAUCCUGGUAGUUUUUAAUCUUCUAAAAAAUUAAUUUGCACAUUUUAAGCUAUAAUCCCAAUGUGAAAACAGUCUUUGUUAUGAGUGUGCAUGAUUUUUUCAGAAACACAAAUAACCAUUUAGAACAAAAAAGCCUGAUAGAUUCAGUUACUCUAAAGUGCAGGUUAUUAGUUCUGCUACUCAGAUUGCAGUGUUUUUUCCAAGGGCAGUCCAUAGAUUUUUCUGUUUGGGAAUACAGGGUCUCUUGAUAAAAAUAUAUAAUUCUAGGCCUUAUCCUCAACCCCCUCAUACCAGAAUUUUUGUUGGUAGAGUCCAGAAACUUGUAUUUUUAAACAAGUAUAUUGAAAAUCAUCUCACUUUAUGUAUAAUGUAUGGGUUUACUGCUAUAGAAAACAUCAAUGCUUGAUUGAAAAAUAUUUACAUAUUUCUCUGUAGGUUUUGAAAUAUCUUCAUGUUAGAGAGGCCUUUUUGGUUGAUGAUUAUAAAUUUGAAGACCAUAUGAGGUCUUUGAGGUGAAAAGGCACAUCACUUACUAUGAAGUAUAAUGACUCUCUACCAAGCAACUGAAAUAUUCUGUUCAACAUAAUGCUAAUUACAUUAGCCUGGAGAACAUUUAAGAUCUGACACACUCAUUAGGGCUUAGCGCUCAACCUAUUAAUCACUAUGGUGGGGUCAUUGAGUAAGAUGGAGCAUGUUCUCAGGCCUGGCCUGUGAUGUCAGGGCUGGAGUCUCUUGUAGUAAUUAGUUGGCAUCUGGGCCUUGGUAGCAAGGUAUUAUCUUUUCUUUUGAUGUCUGAAUUAAAAAUGAAACUAAUAAAAGGUAAGCAGGAACGAUGGAAAAGAAUGCAAAUUAUGUUGAUUUCUUACUUUAUCCUUAGAAUAAUGGCACUAAAUUACAGCAACCCAUCUGGCUAUCCAUAUGGUCUCCUGGAGUUCUAGCAAAUUUCAGCAAAUAGGUCAAGCAAAGUGGUCACCCUAUUAAUACAGUGCCAAAUAGCAGUAGAAAACAUAUUAUAAUUUAAACUUUCUACAUUGUUUAGAUGGAAACAGGGAUUUAUUUUGUAAACAGUGAUUACAUAGGAUAAUCUUUUAAUGUGGUGUUUGUCUGCUAUUCUGUUGAAUGGGGAUCUAAGUAUGGUUGGUUACCUGCACAAGUACUGAGUUCACACUUUGGCCUACCUGUGUCUCUUAUAGUUUUUCUGGUAAUAUCUAUUCUGCUUUGAAAGAAUCAGCUAUUUUGGAGAGCAGAAUUAGCUUUUUUUCUGCCUGGAAAUUUAUUCUUUUGUUUUAUGUAAGCACCGAUUGCCAGUUGUGCUAAAGUAAGAUUUUAUGAUGGACCACAGUACACAGGGGAGUAGAGCAUUAGACCACUGAGCUUAUUUUACUGAAGGCCAAGAAGCAAAAAGAUUUAGCAUAGCAGGUUGGUGGCCUAAUAUGUACCAGAUAUUUUUUUGCUCUCUUUAAAAUUUAAAUAAGGUCACUAUAUUAUUAUGUUUUGUGCUUUAAAUAUUUUGUAGACUGAGAGAAACUAUUAAAAUGAUUCAAUACUGCUCUUAGUAGCAAUUAAAAAAAAGUGCAUUCCCAUUCCCAUGCUUGAGAUAGAUUCGGCUUUCUUCUUAACUUUACAAAGCCAGAAAGCCCAGCAGGUAUACUUGGACAAUCCUAUGUAAGCAGUCUUGACUUCCUGUAUCUAUGCCAUUUCGUUGUUUUGUUUAUUUGUUUAUUUAGUCGGUUUUGUUUGUUUGUUUUUAACAUGAGAAUAAAUGUUGCUAAUUUUUUCCUAGGAAAUAAGGUAUGGUGUGGCAAAAACUAUCAUGCUCAACGUUUUAUCCCCUUAGAAUGAGAUCAAGUGACUAGUUUUGGCUGAUUAAACUUGAGUGGAAGGACAGGUAACCCCUGCACACCUCCUGGAAGAAACAGUGUGAGCACCUUCUUCUCUUCUGCAGCAGCCAGGUUACACAUGGCAUGGCUAACAGUGGAGGUCCCUUUCCUACUCCAGACAUUGAAUAAUUAAACAAUGCUUAUUCAGUUUCUGAAGAUUAUUAUAGAGAUGAACCUAGGAUGUAUUGAUCAUAAGAGGAAAUCUUUGUUGGAUAACUACCAUAUGACUUAUGUGAAUUAUUACACAGGUGCUGGAAUAGGCUAUGAGAUGUCUUUAGUCAACUUAGAAUAUCAUAAGAAUGUGUGCACAUGGGGUACUUCAUCAGAUCUCCGCUGGAGAAGAGAGAGUCUUUAAUAUCUAAAAUGAAAAAAGCAGUUGUAGUAGAUGUCAUCCUUGACAGUUUUCAUAGGUGUAAAAGUGAGAGAGAUGGGCACUUCAAAACACAGUACAGAGAACAAAUCAUAUCCCAGGAGAUUUCUCUGAUUAAAUGUCCUUCAUCCAUCCCAAGACAAGGCAAGGGUCAAGUACAUAUUAGAAGUAUGCUUAGGGCUUUGAAACUGUUCCAGAAAAUUCUUUGCCUACAGAGGGGCUGAUAAUAUACUGCAAAUAAUAUCAUAGUUUUUACUAAAUUUUUAUUAAAAUGCUUUCUGACUAACAUAUGUGCCUUAGACCGUGAAUCUUUCACUUAUUGAUUUAUAAAAGAAACUAUUUAUGUGGUUGCGUUUAUUAUUGCAAAUGACUGUAACCUGAUUCAAAUACCCUUCAGCCUAGAGAAAUGUUCACAUAUACAGAGGAGAAGAACAGAUAUCACUGUCCUCCAGGUCAACUAGCACCAGUGAUUCUAUUUGUUCAGUAUGUUGCUUUCUUGCCUCUUUCUUCUUCUGGAAGGGCAGCUUCAUUUAUUUAUUUUGGUAUCUUUCCCCAGCAUAAGGAAAAUAACUGCGGGCAUCUCAGUCUCAUGUUUCAGGCUCAAAUUUAUCUUGACAAAGUCUGUCCCUUUUCUCUAUAUUUCACUCUGGCAAAUUCUAGGGAAUAUAAAGAGUACCUGGCCUGGUUUGCUGGUGCCUGCAGGCAGAGGAUCAUGGAGGGACUAACAUUGGCAGCCUGAGUAGAGGAGUUCUCUAAUGGAAGGAUGAUACUAUUUCCAGAAGAAAGAAGGUUACAGAAGAGACAAUAGGGCCUUACUAUUGAACUCUUUUUCAAGAGAUUAAUAUAUUAUUUUUUAAAAGUAAAAGCAUGUGUGGGAUUUUACUAAUCACUCAUGUAUAACCUUUCAUUUAGAUACUUUAUACCUUUUGGCAUACAUUAUGUGCCCAAAAGCACAUAUGGUAUUCAGACACUCUGUUGCCUAAUGACAUACAGUGUUUAGUAGCCACCCAGAAGUCUCAAGUGCAUCUUGUGGAAGUUGAUACCUAGAGUGGAAUUUAGAUAUGGAUAGUCCUGGAAUCUCAAAAGGCUUAAUUAAUGACUUACUAGUCCAAUGAGAGGCAGCAGAGUAUUUUAAGUAAGAUAAUGAGCUUCAAAACCUCAGCUUUGAAAUUGAGACUUUGCCACUUGUUUGUUCAGGCUUUUUAAAACUUAACCUUGGAAUUUCAGUUUCUUCUUGUGUAAAAUCACAAAAGAGAGAAUGUGUGUGUGUGUGUGUGUGUGUGUGUGUGUUUUAUAUAAUCCUCUGGUCAGGGUGACUAUCAUUAAACCAAAAUUUGAAUUAUAGGAAAUUACAGUGUAUCAGGACGUUUACUCAGUUUCCUUGAACUAGGGCCAUGAGUCAGAUUAGAAAUAUUAAAGGUAUGAGAAAUUUAAGAAAUGAAGACAAGACACAGAAAUAAGUGAAAAGCGAGGCCCAGUGGGAUGAUCCAGCUCUGGUAGAGACUGGAUCUAACAGCAAAAUACAGCCCUUGCGCUUUAUUUAAAUAGGUGGGAGCACCAGUAGGAUUCAGAGUGAAGAACUUCCUGAAAGAAACAGGAAGAAGGUGGCAAAGACAAGGUAGUUAGGGGUUAGCAGGUUAUGCCCACCUCCUCUACUUCCGGCUGUUGUGCUGCGUUUGCACUUAGGGCUGUGUGAGCCAAUGAGCCAGGGGUUCAGCAUAAUCUGAGCAGUCUCCAGUAAGAGUUCUCACCAAAGUAACCCCUCGCCUUGAGAUGGCUGAGACAAACCCAUAAUUCAUUCAUGGCCCUCCAACAACAGUGUUUUGAUUAUAGUGCUUGUUGCCAUCCUGUUCUUGGUAUUAUCCAUUAUGCAAUGAAACCACAGAUAAGGAACAAGAGAAACAGAGCAAACUGUGCCAAUAAAAUUGGGAAAUGGGGUAAAGCAAGAAAUAUAAGUAGGUCAGUAGUCAUUCCUAAAAUAAAUUCCAAGGCCUUUAUUUAUAUAUGCUGUGGCAUUUCCCCCAGGCCUUCUCCUGAGUAAUGAAGUGGGCACUGGUCAUUCAUUUGGGUCAUCCUUUGAAAAUCCAGUUCAGAGAAUUCCUAAUUUUAUCAUUUCCCAUCUUCCUAAGGACAAAGUCACAAAUAUUCAAUUUCUCAGAAUUCCUUGUACUAUGGACACAGACAUAUGACCCAGGCCUAACAAUUCAGUGCAACAGGUUGGUUUUGAUUUAGAAACUACUGAUGGGAAGAAUCAGAUACGUCCUGGAAUACAUUCAGAUGAAAUGGUUAUAGAUAAUCCAUAAUCCAUUGGCAUAAAAGUAGCAUCAAUGUUCAGAGUCAGUGGGGCUUGUGAUGUAGACUGUGGUAUGAGCUAUUUGUGGCUCAUGUCCCUAAUGGAGCAGUCAAUAAUAGAGCAUGAUUUGGGCAGCACCCAGGUUUGGGUUUUUGAUUCUCCCUCUUGUUCUGUGACUUACUUUUAUGUUCUUAUUGAGUAAUUUCUUCUUUAACUCUGGGAUAGAGGGUAGAUAUAUGUGAAAUUGAGCUCCUAAAAGGUCCUACUGAGGGGAGCAUGGAAUACUGACUUGCGAUUGUUGUUUUGAAAACUUCCUAUGAAUGUUUCUUCUAUAAAAAGGAGCUUUGCUACUCUCCCUGAAAACAUUUAUAUUAGGAUUGAAGAUUUAACAAUAGUUCAAUUAACUAUUCUUAAAGGGUCUUGUAAAAUAGAAAUUAAAUUUCAUAUUUUCACAUGCUGUGAAUGACAAGUUUGAUGUAUCAUGUCUAUCAAAUACACUUUAAGUACUUGUUUCAUUAUUCUAAUACUAGUGCCUUUGGCAGAGUAAUUGCACUAUUUCAGAGAGGUUUUCAAGUGAUUAAUGUAGGUGGCUGUCCUUAAGCAAGAAUUUGCCCAGCUAGUUAGAAGUAUAUCCUGCAGGAAUAUGGUUCAUACUUUUAACCCUAAGGUAAGACCACAAUGAUGGCAGAAACUGGUCCUGUACAUUUAUUACUCAAGUAUUUAUGGUCACCAGAGGAAAGUAUGUCCAGAAAAUUCAGUGUCACAGCUGGAGAGAAAAACCUUUUAAUAGUUUCACUUAUUUAUUUAUUUCACCAGUAUACAUUGUGCAUCUACCGUGUGCAAAACACUGGUGUGGCCCUCGGGAAGUCAUAUGGAGCCAUAAGACACUGUUUUCAGAAUAUAAAAUAGCUAUUUAUAUGUUUCCUUUUUAAUUGAAAUCAUGAUACAUAUUAGUAAAGAAACAGGAGGUGCCAUAUUACUAACAUAGAAACACAUAGCUGAGUCAUCAGGCUAUGUCUCCUUGAUAUCUGAUUUAAUUAUAAUGUUGAUUCACUAACAUUGAACUUAUGGCCAAACAAGAUAAAUUAGUCCUGAAUGAAACUCAUCUAACUAAUAUAUUUUCUGUACAAGGCAACUCACUGCCUUCCUGUGCUUAAGAAAACUAACAAGUACUUCAGCAUUAUGCUUAGGUGCUCUUUUAAAUAGUAGACUCACCAAGACAAAAAGCAAAAAAAAAAAAAAAAAAAAAAGAAAAAGAAAUUGUGGCAUAA